rnacentral:rRNA from 1 species
CACGUAGGGUGCGAGCGUUGUCCGGAAUUAUUGGGCGUAAAGAGCUCGUAGGCGGUGUGUCGCGUCGGCCGUGAAAACCUGCAGCUUAACUGUGGGCUUGCGGUCGAUACGGGCAUCACUGGAGUUCGGCAGGGGAGACUGGAAUUCCUGGUGUAGCGGUGAAAUGCGUAGAUAUCCGGAGGAACACCGGUGGCGAAGGCGGCUUCCUGGACCGAUACUGACGCUGAGGAGCGAAAGCCAGGGGAGCAAACGGG